UUCAUUUCUGGUAUUCAGAAUUCACUGACUCAAUUAAGUCGCAUUUGCGUCAUGUUAACCGGAAAUUCAUUUCCCCUAGGUAGUUCUUCAUUUUGAAAACUCGAACUUGAAACAUUUUUUAAACCAUUUUCCCUAGGUACCUCUCCAUCCAUUCUCAGGAGUCAAACCCAAAACAUCAUUUAAACCAUUUUCCCUAGGUACCUCUCCAUUCUCAGAAGUCGAACUCAAAACAUCAUUUAAACCAUUUUCCCUAGAUACUUCUCCGAUCCAUUCUCAGAACUCGAACCCGACACAUCAUUUAAACCAUUUCCAGUAGGUACUUCUCCAUUCUCAGAAAUCGAACCUGAAACAUCAUUUAAACCAUUUCCGGUAGGUACUUCUCCAUUUUCAGAAGUCGAACCUGAAACAUCAUUUGAACCAUUUUUCCUAGGUACUUCUCCAUUCCCAAGAUUCGAAGCUGACACAUCAUUGAAACCAUUUCCCCGAGGUACUUCUCCACUCUCAGAAAUCGAACCUGAAACAUCAUUUAAACCAUUUCCCAUAGGUACUUCUCCAUUCUCGAUAGUCGAACCCGAACCACCAUUUAAACCAUUUUCCCUAAGUAUUUCUCUAUUCUCAGGACUCGAACCCUCCUCCUUCUCUUCCACCUCGGAUUUCUCAGUACUACUCUCACUGCUCGUAGUACAAC
rnacentral:lncRNA from 1 species